UCCUGCAUGGGAUGCCAGACUCCACCAGCACUGCCUCCGCCCCUCUGCCUCUGGUUAUCUCCACAGGAAACCAUGAGUCUUUGAUGAUCUCAUCUUUGCCAUCUCCUUCAGGUCUGAAAUGGUUGGUUUCUACCAUCUAUGGCAUGAGUUAAAUCACUGACGUAGAAGAACAACCUGGCCCAGUCUUUCUCAGAAUUGCUGUGCCCUCGUGGUCACCAAAACUGAGUCAGGAGUGAGUCAUACUUAUUUCCAGGUACUGGUGAAAUCUUGUGGGGGCAACUGUCAUCACAGCCUCUUAACAGCUCAGCAAGGUGCAAACUUACUUACGCAAGCCUCUGGCACUCUAGAAAGUAAAAUGCACAAGAAAGGAUAGAAACACUUGUUUUUUUUACUACCUGGAAUUCAGAAAAACAGCCGUGUUUUUCUAGACUCUUGACUUUCCAAUGGAGGCACAUUUAUAACUCAUUACUUUUCACAAUACUCUACAUUGAAAAUACAUCUACUGAUCAGGACUCUAUGAUAACCUGGGGUUAAAAAUCCAACGUAAGUUGACUGUAGCAAGAAACAUAAGGUAGCAUUCAGUUCAUUUAAGUGAAAAGUCUAGUUUAGUUGUUACAGGAAUGGCUUGACCCUGGAACUCAAAAAAACAUUGUUAGAAUUCUUCCUUCUUAUUUGUAAAUUUCUACUCUUCUGUGUUGGCAUCAGUCUCAGACACCCUUUCUCCAAGGUGACAUGGCAUCUUCCAGCUGCUCUAGGCUUAGAGCUUUUCAGCACAAAAGUAUCAGUAGAAAAAUAAAUGUCUCUGUGCUAAUUGUUCUAGCAAAAGUUUCAGUUCUAACUCUGAUUGGCCAUAAGUGUGGUCAUGAACUAUAUCAAUUAUCUACUGCCACAGAAAGAGUGAGCAACAAAGCCUCAGUGGUAUAUAAAAAUAAAUGUGUUCCUCAUGCAGCUGGGGUCAUUGGGGGCCCACUGGUGGCUUUGCUGAUCUUGGAUGGUCUUGCUCACAUACCUGGGAGUUGGUUGGCUACCGGUUGAGGAGACUGGAGUGAGUUGGCUCUGCUCCACACGUUUUUCCUUCUCCAGCAGGCAUGUUCCCAUGGUGAAUGCAUAACUGUAACAGAUCCAUUGCCAGAUGUGUUCUGCAAGUCAACACCCCAAGACACCAGGUUGCAGCAGAGAAAGAGGUUUAAUCGUAGGCUACCAAACAACAAGAUAGGAGGAAACCUCAAGUCCAUUUCUGAGGGAUUUGGGAAAGAAGACUCUCAUUGUCUGAAGGAAAAAAAAACAACAUGCCAGGCUUACUGACAGAAGCUUUUACAGGAAACAAAACCCACGACAACUUCUCUCGUCAAGGGCUCUUCAGACUGUUUCUAAACACUCACAGGAAGGCCAGGCUGACAUUUUACACAUGAUUGACUGAGAGCGCUAUGCUUGCUUCUGGAUAUGUGCGUGCUUGUAUACGUGUGCAACUGUGUGUGUGCACGCAUAUGCCUGCAUGCAAGCCUACGGGUGCUUACCUGGUCCUGUAGCUCAGCCUAAACAAAGAUUCAGACUUGCUUAUGCAUAAAUAAUGAGUUGGCGGGGCCAGAAGCUGCCUAGGGUCUAUUUAUAUAGAUUGAUUUGCAUGUGCCAAGGGGAAUUGGGAAGAUACAGUGGAGAAGACAGCCUGGUGAUUGGUUCAGGGGCCAGGAUAGCAGCUGAACCCAUGCAAUCCUCCCUGAGACUUUAGUGAGUCUGCAAGGAAUGAGCCCUCUCUGUUUGCAAGACCUCCAAGGCCAGCAGGAUAAAAGCUUGGCAACCGUGAAGUGAGAGUCAUCCUUAGAAUGAAGCCAGCACAGAGGAGAGCAGAAGAAGGAUGGAGAGAGAGACUAGUCCUAAUGUCCUUGUGUGGUGGCUUGGCUAGCACCUGCUGUGCCUAUCUUCCCACUGGGAGCCUUAGUCUCAUGCCCAGUUGAUCCCUCCCCUGGUGUCAACUAAGCUUGAGUUGGAUUAUCUGCUACUUGCUGAUGCUCCACUCACAGUCUCCCUGCAUUAUCCCAGCACCUGAGACAUUUCUGAUUAGAUUGGCAUCCAUGGGGGUGUGAAAGUCACAUUCUCAGAGAAAGAAAGUGAUGAACCACCUGUACUGCAGAACCCACCAGUAACAACCCCACCCUACACCCUAGUCCAGGUUCCUCAGCUGUCUGUCAAAUCCAGGAGCCAGGACACCAGGUGGAGUCCUGCAACCUUUUGCAAUCUCUGUGUCAGAGGUAUUAGAACAAGAAUGACUCCAUCUUGAAAACAGGCUGGGUAGAAUGAGGCUUAGACUUACUGGGCUGCAUUCCCAAGAGGUUAAGGCAUUCCUAGUCACAGAAUGAGAUAGACGGUUGGCACAAGAUACAGAUCAUAAAGACCUUACUGAUAAAACAGGUUGCAGUUAAGAAGCCGGCCAAAACCCAUCAAAACCAAGAUGGUGACAAGAGUGACCUCUGGUCAUCCUCACAGCUCAUUAUAAGCUAGUUACAAUAUAUUAGCAUGCUAAAAGACACUCCCACCAGUGCUGUGACAGUUUACAGAUGCCAUGGCAACAUCAGGAAAUUACCCUAUAUGGUCUAAAAAGGCUAAGAACCCUCAGUUCUGGGAGUUGUCCACUCCUUACUGUGAAAACUCAUGAAGAAUCAACCUCUUGUUUAGCAUAUAAUCAAGAAAUAACCAUAAAAAUGGGCAACCAGAAGCUCUUGAGAAUGCUCUGCCUAGGGAGUAGCCAUUCUUUUAUUCCUUUACUGUCUUAAUAAACUUGCUUUCACUGUAUG
rnacentral:lncRNA from 1 species